GUGGGGAAUAUUCCGCAAUGGACGAAAGUCUGACGGAGCAACGCCGCGUGAGUGAUGAAGGUUUUCGGACUGUAAAGCUCUGUUGUUUAGGACGAAAGUGCCUGUUGCAAACAGUUACAGGUAUUGACGGUACUAAACGAGGAAGCCACGGCUAACUACGUGCCAGCAGCCGCGGUAAUACGUAGGUGGCAAGCGUUGUCCGGAAUUAUUGGGCGUAAAGAGCAUGUAGGCGGGAAUCUAAGUCUGUUGUGAAAAUGCGGGGCUCAACCCCGUAUUGCGAUGGAAACUGGGUUUCUUGAGUGCAGGAGAGGAAAGGGGAAUUCCCAGUGUAGCGGUGAAAUGCGUAGAUAUUGGGAGGAACACCAGUGGCGAAGGCGCCUUUCUGGACGAAAACUGACGCUGAGGCGCGAAAGCCAGGGGAGCGAACGGGAUUAGAAACCCGUGUAGUCC
rnacentral:rRNA from 1 species